rnacentral:rRNA from 1 species
UACGUAGGUGGCAAGCGUUAUCCGGAUUUAUUGGGCGUAAAGGGCGUGUAGGCGGGAGCGCAAGUCAGAUGUGAAAACUCAGGGCUCAACCCUGAGCCUGCAUUUGAAACUGUGUUUCUUGAGUGCUGGAGAGGCAAUCGGAAUUCCGUGUGUAGCGGUGAAAUGCGUAGAUAUACGGAGGAACACCAGUGGCGAAGGCGGAUUGCUGGACAGUAACUGACGCUGAGGCGCGAAAGCGUGGGGAGCAAACAGG